rfam:Glycine soja cultivar W05 scaffold829_57, whole genome shotgun sequence.
AUGUUAACGUAUGAUAUGUUAAUAUCGGUUUUCUAAAAAAUCGAUGUUAAUGCAUACACGUUAACAU